ACUCGCAGCCCUAUCCCCGCCGCCCAGCCUUCCUCCUCUUCUUCUCCUGCAGGACCGCCUGCAACGGCGUCGUCGAGGAGCUCAAGAAUUUGACCACUCACUCCCCCACGUGCUUCACGUUUCCGGCGACGGAGGAAGCACCGCCGAGAUUCUCUGCGUCCUCGCAUGGAGUGCAUUAAACUAUCUUGGAAGUACUGACAACAAAGUAUGGAACUUCACUCUUUGAAAGUGGAAUACAACAUGUUUGGCACUCCUAGAAGCAAAGCCAGCAACUCCGCAUGCCGAGUAGAACUAGACAUCAUUACUGUGUGUCGAAAGCCCCCCAAAACAACUCCAACAAGCACACCUCCCAAACCUAUUGGAACAUGAAACUAGUUUGGAGAGCACACCAUCCAAAGGAAUAUAUUCCAACAAGGACAAUAAGCAUCAGAAUGUUGAGGACAGAGAGCUCCUUUUUCGAAAAGCACAUCAUCCAAUGGAAAAUAAUCGAAGGAGGACAACAAGCAUCAAAAUGUUGAGGACAGAGAGCUUGUGUCGGUCCCUUUUGAUAAUUCCAAGCACAGCUGCCUUGCAUGAAUCACACUCGUAGCAUCACAAGUAGUUCUAAGGUGCUGAUAUAAGAAUUCACCUCUGCCUCUAGCUGAAAUAGGUUCUCAUGGCAAAAAGAGCAAAGCAAAUGAAAGCAAGUGCAAAGCUCACAAAAUGACAAAGUAAAAUGGUGCACUUGUGAUUGUUGUUUUAUUUCAAGUGUGGUUAUAACUUUCAAUACUUGGAAAUGACAACACAUUUAUUUUCAUUUUAGUGUUUGUAUUUGAAUAUGGUACGAUAACUCAAUGGAUAUGUUUAACUAUAUUUUUCAUGAA